rnacentral:rRNA from 1 species
GACGAACGCUGGCGGCGUGCCUAAUACAUGCCAGUUGAGCGCUGAAGGUUGGUACUUGUACCAACUGGAUGAGCAGCGAACGGGUGAGUAACGCGUGGGGAAUCUGCCUUUGAGCGGGGGACAACAUUUGGAAACGAAUGCUAAUACCGCAUAAAAACUUUAAACACAAGUUUUAAGUUUGAAAGAUGCAAUUGCAUCACUCAAAGAUGAUCCCGCGUUGUAUUAGCUAGUUGGUGAGGUAAAGGCUCACCAAGGCGAUGAUACAUAGCCGACCUGAGAGGGUGAUCGGCCACAUUGGGACUGAGACACGGCCCAAACUCCUACGGGAGGCGGCAGUAGGGAAUCUUCGGCAAUGGACGAAAGUCUGACCGAGCAACGCCGCGUGAGUGAAGAAGGGUUUCGGAUCGUAAAACUCUGUUGGUAGAGAAGAACGUUGGUGAGAGUGGAAAGCUCAUCAAGUGACGGUAACUACCCAGAAAGGGACGGCUAACUACGUG